rnacentral:lncRNA from 1 species
UAUCUGUUGAGCACAUUGAAACCAAUAGAAAGACAACAUAUCAUCAGUUUCUUGUUCUUUUAAAAUAUGAGUCUAUGCUAAUGCUUGUAGAAGAAAUCGGGUGUCUUCUACUUCGCUGUAUCAAUACUGACCUUGUUAGUAAGAAAGUUAUUUCUUUUGAGUUUUAGACAUGACCUAUGUUAUUUCUUUUGAGUUUUAGACAUGAACUAUAGAAAUAGGAAGUGGUGAUUUUAUUUAACUCUGAAUAAUGAGACUUGCACUGUCUAAAGAUUUGUAAUUUUAGUGUUAGUUUUCUUCUUAUGUGCUGGUAUGACCUUUGGUGCUUGCAUUCUAAAAGGUAUUAGCUCACAUACAGGAGUAUCUGUGUAAAAUAGAUUAAUAUUGAGAUGCUUGGCAGAUGCAAGGUGUUUAAAUCGUUUGGUUAAAAUCAGUAGCUGUAAAAAUCUGUAUUGUAGUGGGCUAGCAGGUUCCAUCAUAUCUUCUCUAGUUCUCUGUGCCAGUACUUACUGUUUUCAUUGUUUAUAAGUCAUUCUCUGAUCAUGUUCUUGGCUCUAGUUUUUUGGGGAGUAUAUACAAUGACCUGAUGGAUUUAUGCAUUGUGAAAUUGAACAGAGCGUGGCUUAUAAACAAAAAGUUCGGUCAAAGGAUGUGUCAUAAGGACUCAUAUAAUCAGGAUUCUAAAUGAAUGAGUAGAGAAUGAAACUAGAGUCAUCAAUUUUUGCUCAUUCUUGUUCUUGUUUGUUGUUAUUUUCUGUGGUCGAAGGCUAUGUAAACGAUGAGAUACAUCAAGCUGAAUCACUCAACGUAAAGACGCAAACUUGGGAGCCAGCGCCGAGUCUUGAGAUGAAGGAGAUUUGGUGUAGAAUGAUUGGUUUAGAAAGGAGCGAUGAAGGGAUCAAUGGGGCUGCAGAAUCGGGUCAGCGUAUGAGGCUCAUACCUGUACUGGAAAAAACAAACCGUUUCCUAGAGGAGGCAAGGUAAGAUCAAUCAAAGUUACUUAUGUGUGCCAAAUGAGGCUGCUAGUUUUGAUUUGCAAUCUUCUUACAUGCUUUAUCUGUUGAGCACAUUGAAACCAAUAGAAAGACAACAUAUCAUCAGUUUCUUGUUCUUUUAAAAUAUGAGUCUAUGCUAAUGCUUGUAGAAGAAAUCGGGUGUCUUCUACUUCGCUGUAUCAAUACUGACCUUGUUAGUAAGAAAGUUAUUUCUUUUGAGUUUUAGACAUGACCUAUGUUAUUUCUUUUGAGUUUUAGACAUGAACUAUAGAAAUAGGAAGUGGUGAUUUUAUUUAACUCUGAAUCAGGUGAAUGAGCUGCUGAGACAUUCAUCCAUGCCAUUAAUUUUUCUUCCUUCACAAGUUCAACUUCUAAAGUUUUUUUUUUAAGAACUCAUGCUUAAGAAACUUGCAAUGGAGGAUAAAAAAUUAAGUGUCUCUUAAGCAAAGUUCUUAACACAUACUCCCUC